CUGCAGGCUAAAAUAAUGAUUCCUACUGUGCUCGACUCAGUUGUAUGGUUGUACGGGGAGCAGAUCUUCUGGACCGCGUUUCCUAGUCCGCCCCUGGACCACACAACCGAUAUAAAAUCUCUCCCACGUGUAAACCUCGUGCACGCACCAACGCGGAAAAGCCCUAACCUCUCUCUCGACCUCCAGCGACGCUCCACGCCCUUGCCACUCUCGACCUCCAGCGUCGCUGCCCUACUCCCUCCCGCUGCCUCCCUCCCGUGGCCUCCAGCGACAUCUUGCAGCCUCCUCCUCCUCCAACGUCGUCUCCCUCCAGCGACAUCCUGCGCCCUCCCUCCAACGUCGUCGCCCUCCAGCGACCUCCCUGCUGCGUCGCCGACCUCCAGGGGCCUCCAACGACUUCCCUGCUGCGUCGCCGACGUCCUCAGCGACCUCCCUCCUGCGAGCUCUGUGACCUCCGGCAGCCUCCCUCCCUUUCAAAAUUUGCCAAUCGCAAAAGAACGAUCUCAUAUGACUGGGUAUUUUGUGGUGGAUUUCACCCUUGCUGAACUUAAAUCACUUGGGGUGAAGCAGAGGUUUUCAUUCGGAGAUCAGCAAUACAAUGGUAUACUAACUAGUAUACUAACUAGAUUAUUAUGGGUUAUAGAUUUAGUUAUUAUGGGUUAUAGAUGUUUUCUUUUGUCACAUCUGUUAUACUUGAAAUGAUUUUGAUUAUGUUUACUAAGAAAGUUCUCAAUUAUCACAUUUGGGGGGAGCAGAUGCCAUUGCACUUGAUGCCAAUAGAAUUGUUGGGAUCUACCCUGAGAUAAAGGAUCCAGUUUUCAUCAACCUAUGGGUACAAGGAAAGUAAUUCAAGGCAGGAAAUCCUAAGCAUGAAAUCCUUUAAUUUGACAUUGUGAUGUAACUCUAAAUAGUGUAAUUUGUUUCCUGAUGUAACUUGUUUUCUUUUGUCGAUCCUAAGCGUGAAAUCUUUGACUUUGACAUUUACCUUCAACUUCUUCAAUUAGACAAUGUUAAAGAACUAUUCUCUUU